UGAAGCAAAUAUUAAUCUAAACUCUCAACCCCACACAAUAACACUUUUUCAGUUUAUAAAUGUGAACUGAAUCUCCGAUUCAAGCCUGUGAUUGUGAAGUCCAAUCGAAAAUGCAGCCAGAGGGCUGCUGAGAGCCCCAAAGCUGCAUCUUGGCUAUAGUGUGUCUUCAAUGAUCUCUCAUAUGUUCAGCAUUAGAGUACUACAAUGCCCAUAGCAUUUUACAAUUACCCAUGAACAAAGAUUUAGGAAAGGACCUUCCCAAAGAAUCAGACUUCAAGAGCUGGACAAAAUGAGGUGUAUGCCUAGAGUACAAGUUGACAAAGCUAAAUGUGAAAAAAAGUUUUUAACCACAGGUAGUGUUUUGAUAUGCAUGGAAAAUUCUAGUCUAGAUGACUUGUUAGCAGAAUUUGAAGCAAGAAAACAGAAAUAAACCCCAGGUGUCUUAUAUCUGCAGCUUUCAGUUGCCCAAGUCCCUCUUCUGCAGGGCAAAAUUUAGUAAAAAAAUCUUGCACUGCACUGUCAGGUGGUGGAACAUAACAAAACAUUUGUUUGUUUCAUCUUUCCCUGAAUGCAGGGAAGUGCAUUGCCACUUGGAAGUGGCUUUCCUAGCUUUCUCCUGUAGGAACCCAAUUAGCUAGACUGAUGGCAAAUGUGGACACCCUUAAGACUUGGUAAUUCAUCCACUUUACCAGGACAGGUGGAUGAAGUGGGAUUUUGAAUGCCAGUGGUGGAUUUGACUACACAUUUGCAGAAAAGGCCCCUGGGCUGCUCAAGUUCUUUCCAGACACAUUACAUCUCCCAGCAGUGAAGCAAGGAGUGCUCUCUCUGCCUGUUAUACACAUUCCUGAAUGCAUCCAGGCCAAGGUCCACAAGGAAGCCCAAAGUGCAGAGUAGUGUUGAAUGAGUUGUUACAGAGAGGAAUGACUAGGUUAGAUAUGGACAUCUAGGGUGUGGAUGCCCACAUAAGCAUCAUCUGAGAUGCUCUGGGGAUCCUGCUUGACCAGUGUCUGUGUCUCCCACACAACAUAAGUCAACAUAAGUCUCACGUAGCUCCUGCAUCAUCUGCUGUGGAUGCCUUGGUUCUUUAAAGUUGUCCUAGCACAAGAUCCCUAUGGUAAGGCAAGCUUCCCACUGGAAUAAUGGAAAAGCCUCCAUACCUAAGUGUCUGUAUGUUAAGAUUGAAGGAACUAUGUGUAACCUCAUCUAAUGUCUCUUCUCUUGUCUUCUCCAUUUUCAGAUGUUACUCCAUCUCCUUCAGUCUACAGGCUGAUCUCUAACGAUGAUGAGGAUUUGGAAAUGUGCCUUAUCACAGAUUAUGCCCCUGAAAAGCUUUCUAACUCAUCUGAUAAGCAGACAAAUACUGUUGUGGAGGUGGCAACAUCUGAGAACAAACAGGAAGCGAGCUACCUGUCAACCUACUGGGCCAGGAAAGAUGAAAUGCAGUGUGGUGCAAAUUACGAGGGCUUUGGAGAACUGGAGGGCGAGGAUCCUGAAAGUGGUGCCAGUGCUGUCUGUGUUACAGGAGUGUCUCUGCACUUCAGGACAGAUGAAAACCUGAACAUGCUGUCCUUAUCACUGCUGGGCCUGAAAAUAAUUUUAAUGAAAGGAAUAAUUGUUAAUGUGGUGAUGACGAUGCUUAUGGGGAAAAAAAGGAAUGAAAGUAAACAGAUGGUGCAGUCCUGAAGUACCAAAAAAAACUCUGCCGAGGAACUCUUACCAGAGCAUCAUGCGCAAGAGGGAGCAGAG